rnacentral:piRNA from 2 species
UGAUACAUGACCAUGGUCGGCAGUGAUCAGU